UAAUACGGAGGGUGCAAGCGUUGCUCGGAAUCACUGGGCGUAAAGCGAACGCAGGCGGCCGAGUAUGUCGGAUGUGAAAGCCCCGGGCUCAACCCGGGAAUUGCAUUCGAAACUGCUUGGCUUGAGUCCGAGAGAGGGUGGUGGAAUUCCUGGUGUAGAGGUGAAAUUCGUUGAUAUCAGGAGGAACACCGGCGGCGAAGGCGGCCACCUGGCUCGGUACUGACGCUCAUGUUCGAAAGCGUGGGUAGCAAACAGGAUUAGAUACCCUGGUAGUCCACGCCGUAAACGAUGUGUGCUAGAUGUUGGAGGUAUUCACCCCUUCAGUGUCGCGGUUAACGCAUUAAGCACACCGCCUGGGGAGUACGGUCGCAAGAUUA
rnacentral:rRNA from 1 species